CAAUAUGAAGGUCAGGCUGAAGACCUUACCCGAUUAGCUGAGAGGUGGUGCAUGGCCGUCGUCAGUUCGUACUGUGAAGCAUCCUGUUAAGUCAGGCAACGAGCGAGACCCACGUCCACAGUUGCCAGCAUACCCUCCGGGGCGAUGGGUACACUGUGGAGACCGCCGCUGCUAAAGCGGAGGAAGGAGUGGGCAACGGUAGGUCAGUAUGCCCCGAAUCUCCCGGGCUACACGCGGGCUACAAUGGUUGGUACAAUGGGCAUCUACCCCGAAAGGGGAAGGAAAUCUCUUAAAGCCAAUCGUAGUUCGGAUUGAGGGCUGCAACUCGCCCUCAUGAAGCUGGAAUCCGUAGUAAUCGCGUUUCAACAGAACGCGGUGAAUACGUCCCUGCUCCUU
rnacentral:rRNA from 1 species